UACGUAGGUGGCAAGCGUUGUUCGGAAUUAUUGGGCGUAAAGAGCUCGUAGGCGGUCUGUUGCGUCUGCUGUGAAAACUCGGGGCUUAACCCCGAGCCUGCAGUGGAUACGGGCAGACUAGAGGUAGGUAGGGGAGAAUGGAAUUCCUGGUGUAGCGGUGAAAUGCGCAGAUAUCAGGAGGAACACCGGUGGCGAAGGCGGUUCUCUGGGCAUGAUCUGACGCUGAGGAGCGAAAGUGUGGGGAGCGAACAGG
rnacentral:rRNA from 1 species